AACGAACGCUGGCGGCAUGCCUAACACAUGCAAGUCGAACGAGACCUUCGGGUCUAGUGGCGCACGGGUGCGUAACGCGUGGGAACCUGCCCUUAGGUUCGGAAUAACUCCCCGAAAGGGGUGCUAAUACCGGAUAAUGUCUUCGGACCAAAGAUUUAUCGCCUUUGGAUGGGCCCGCGUUGGAUUAGCUAGAUGGUAGGGUAAAAGCCUACCAAGGCGACGAUCCAUAGCUGGUCUGAGAGGAUGAGCAGCCACACUGGGACUGAGACACGGCCCAGACUCCUACGGGAGGCAGCAGUGGGGAAUAUUGGACAAUGGGCGAAAGCAUGAUCCAGCAAUGCCGCGUGAGUGAUGAAGGCCUUAGGGUUGUAAAGCUCUUUUACCCGGGAUGAUAAUGACAGUACCGGGAGAAUAAGCUCCGGCUAACUCCGUG
rnacentral:rRNA from 1 species